AAGCGGAGGAAAAGAAACCAACAGGGAUUGCCUCAGUAGCGGCGAGUGAAGCGGCAAAAGCUCAAAUUUGAAAUCUGGCACUUUCAGUGUCCGAGUUGUAAUUUGAAGAAGGUAUCUUUGGGUCUGGCUCUUGUCUAUGUUUCUUGGAACAGAACGUCACAGAGGGUGAGAAUCCCGUGCGAUGAGAUGACCCAGACCUAUGUAAAGUUCCUUCGAAGAGUCGAGUUGUUUGGGAAUGCAGCUCUAAGUGGGUGGUAAAUUCCAUCUAAAGCUAAAUAUUGGCGAGAGACCGAUAGCGAACAAGUACAGUGAUGGAAAGAUGAAAAGAACUUUGAAAAGAGAGUGAAAAAGUACGUGAAAUUGUUGAAAGGGAAGGGCUUGAGAUCAGACUUGGUAUUUUGCAUGUUACUCUCUCGGGGGUGGCCGCUGCAGUUUACCGGGCCAGCAUCAGUUUGGGCGGUAGGAUAAUUGCAGAGAAAUGUGGCACUGCCUCGGUAGUGUGUUAUAGUCUUUGUCGAUACUGCCAGCCUAGACUGAGGACUGCGGCUUCGGCCUAGGAUGUUGGCAUAAUGAUCUUAAGUCGCCCGUCUUG
rnacentral:rRNA from 1 species